UCAUUCUUCAAAGUGGCUGCGAAAUGUUGUACACAGCUAGAUUUAAUAUUCAUAUCACAGCCAGCUUUGAGGAGCGUCA
rfam:Glossina morsitans morsitans, isolate Yale, WGS project CCAG01000000 data, contig: ctg10009954